UUCUCUCUGUAGCAGCACACAGAUAUUGGCAGUGGCAUUGUGCUUACAGUUGCCAGUUCUGUUUGUGCUGCUUCAGGGUGUA